ACCCAAAGUCACUUUAGCCAACCUGCAAAGGAGGCGAGUGCCUAAGGUAUGGGGAGUGAUUGGGGUGAAGUCGUAACAAGGUAGCWGUAGGUGAACCUGCAGAAGGWUCA
rnacentral:rRNA from 1 species